rnacentral:rRNA from 1 species
GACGAACGCUGGCGGCGUGCUUAACACAUGCAAGUCGAACGGAAAGGCCCUGCUUUUGUGGGGUGCUCGAGUGGCGAACGGGUGAGUAACACGUGAGUAACCUGCCCUUGACUUUGGGAUAACUUCAGGAAACUGGGGCUAAUACCGGAUAGGAGCUCCUGCUGCAUGGUGGGGGUUGGAAAGUUUCGGCGGUUGGGGAUGGACUGGCGGCUUAUCAGCUUGUUGGUGGGGUAGUGGCUUACCAAGGCUUCGACGGGUAGCCGGCCUGAGAGGGUGACCGGCCACAAUGGGACUGAGGUACGGACCAGACUCCUACGGGAGGCAGCAGUGGGGAAUCUUGCACAAUGGGCGGAAGCCUGAUGAGGCGACGCCGCGUGCGGGAUGACGGCCUUCGGGUUGUGAACCGCUUUCGCCUGUGACGAAGCGUGAGUGACGGUAAUGGGUAAAGAAGCACCGGCUAACUACGUG